CGUAAACUCUGCAGACGGAGCCAGUGCGCGCGCUCUACGCUACGCCGCUGCCACAAACGGACUAAAGGACGGGGUUUUGGGGAAUUAUUUGUUGGGACAGAGGACAGAGCAGAGUAGAGGACAAAGCAGAGAGGGUCAAGAUGAGCUGUUUGUUUUUCCCGUAUCCAUGAAGACCAUGCAAGAGGUCAGUGAAGGAGCAGGCUAUGGACAUUUGAGAUGCUGGAGGCUUUUUACACCAUAUGUGGCAGCAAAUGUGGCAGAAGAUCUUCCAGAGGAAACACUUUGAUGUAAUGAACCAUUUCGUCACCAACCAAAACACCAGAGCGGAGUAAGAAUGAAGCCUUUCCUGUUGGUUCACCUGAAUUUCCCUGGAGGCUGCUGUGAUGCUGCAGGACACGGAGGAGGGACACUUUUGACUCUUCUGCUGACCCUCCCUGAUCAGUCCUCCUGUUCAACUGACCUGAGACUGACUAAGACACAAAGGGACUGAGACGAGCAGUGGAAAUGUUGCAGCAACAUCAAAUGCAACAGUUUGUUGCAUGAACAGAGUGUUUUCAGUUUGAGAGAUGAGCAAUGUCUAAAUAUGCAGGAUGUGCGUGUUACAUGUGUGUGAAUGAAACAGAACACAACUCCACGUGUGUUUUGAUGAAGAAACAUUAUAACAUAGAUCAGAAAAUAGUGUAAUAUGGGGCCUUUUAAUGGUAACAUUUUGGUCUAAGUUCACAUUUGUCCAUAAUAAGUGAAAUAUGAAAAUAUGAAUACAGUGUUUAUACAGAUCUAAACAACACGGUUAGAGUUUCUAUGCAGGAUAUGACAGGAUUUUUUUUAUAUAAUACUUGCGAUUUGAUAAUUGUAUCUUUUUAAAUUGCUAUUUGGCUCCGUUUCUUCUUACACAUUUAUGACAGACAAUAAAAACUGUGCUUUUGGA